rnacentral:rRNA from 1 species
AUUGAACGCUGGCGGCAGGCUUAACACAUGCAAGUCGAGCGGUAGCACAGGGGAGCUUGCUCCCUGGGUGACGAGCGGCGGACGGGUGAGUAAUGUCUGGGAAACUGUCUGAUGGAGGGGGAUAACUACUGGAAACGGUAGCUAAUACCGCAUAACGUCGCAAGACCAAAGAGGGGGAGCUUGGGGCCUCGUGCCAGCAGAUGUGCCCAGAUGGGAUUAGCUUGUAGGUGGGGUAAUGUUUCCACUGGGCGGCGAUGCCUAGCUGGUCUGAGGGGAUGGCCGGCCGCCUUGGAAGUGGGCCACGGUCCAGGGUCCUGCGGGAGGCAGCAGUGGGGAAUAUUGGACAGUGGGCGCAAGCCUGAUGCAGCCAUGGCGCGUGUGUGACGACGGCCUUCCGGUUGUAAAGCACUUUCAGCGAGGGGGAAGGUCGUGCACUUAAUACGUUCAUCAAUUGACGUUAAUCGCAAAAGAAGCACCGGCUAACUACGUG